rnacentral:rRNA from 1 species
UACGUAGGGUGCGAGCGUUAAUCGGAAUUACUGGGCGUAAAGCGCGCGCAGGCGGUCCUUCAAGUCAGAGGUGAAAGCCCAGAGCUCAACUCUGGAACGGCCUUUGAGACUAGAGGACUUGGGUACGGGAGAGGUGAGUGGAAUUCCGAGUGUAGAGGUGAAAUUCGUAGAUAUUCGGAAGAACACCAGUGGCGAAGGCGGCUCACUGGCCCGUUACCGACGCUCAGGCGCGACAGCGUGGGGAGCAAACAGG